rnacentral:rRNA from 1 species
UUACGGGAGGCAGCAGUGGGGAAUUUUGGACAAUGGGGGCAACCCUGAUCCAGCCAUGCCGCGUGAGUGAAGAAGGCCUUCGGGUUGUAAAGCUCUUUCGGCCGGGAAGAAAUCGCUUCGGAUAAUACCCGGGGUGGAUGACGGUACCGGACUAAGAAGCACCGGCUAACUACGUGCCAGCAGCCGCGGUAAUACGUAGGGUGCGAGCGUUAAUCGGAAUUACUGGGCGUAAAGCGUGCGCAGGCGGUUUGCUAAGACAGGCGUGAAAUCCCCGGGCUUAACCUGGGAACUGCGUUUGUGACUGGCAGGCUAGAGUAUGGCAGAGGGGGGUGGAAUUCCACGUGUAGCAGUGAAAUGCGUAGAGAUGUGGAGGAACACCGAUGGCGAAGGCAGCCCCCUGGGCCAAUACUGACGCUCAUGCACGAAAGCGUGGGGAGCAAACAGGAUUAGAUACCCCUGUAGUCC